AUUGAACGCUGGCGGCAGGCCUAACACAUGCAAGUCGAACGGUAACAGGAAGAAGCUUGCUUCUUUGCUGACGAGUGGCGGACGGGUGAGUAAUGUCUGGGAAACUGCCUGAUGGAGGGGGAUAACUACUGAAAACGGUAGCUAAUACCGCAUAACGUCGCAAGACCAAAGAGGGGGACCUUCGGGCCUCUUGCCAUCGGCUGUGCCCAGAUGGGAUUAGCUAGUAGGUGGGGUAACGGCUCACCUAGGCGACGAUCCCUAGCUGGUCUGAGAGGAUGACCAGCCACACUGGAACUGAGACACGGUCCAGACUCCUACGGGAGGCAGCAGUGGGGAAUAUUGCACAAUGGGCGCAAGCCUGAUGCAGCCAUGCCGCGUGUAUGAAGAAGGCCUUCGGGUUGUAAAGUACUUUCAGCGGGGAGGAAGGGAGUAAAGUUAAUACCUUUGCUCAUUGACGUUACCCGCAGAAGAAGCACCGGCUAACUCCGUG
rnacentral:rRNA from 1 species